rnacentral:rRNA from 1 species
GACGAACGCUGGCGGCGUGCUUAACACAUGCAAGUCGAACGGAAAGGCCCUGCUUUCACUCUACUCGAGUGGCGAACGGGUGAGUAACUCGCGGGUGAUUUGCCUUCCACUUCGGGAUAAGCCAGGGAAACUGGCUCUAACACCUGCUAGGAACCAUUUGUAGUGUCAUGGUUGUAAAGUUUUUGCGGGGUAGGCGGGGCUCGCGGCCUAUCAUCUUGUUGGUGUGGUAAUGGCCUACCAAGGCGGCGACGGGUAGCCGGCCUGAGAGGGUGGCCGGCCACAUUGGGACUGAGAUACGGGCCAGACGCCUACGGGAGGCAGCAGGGGGGAAUAUUGCACAAUGGGCGCAAGCCUGAUACAGCGACGCCGCGUGGGGGAUGACGGCCUUCGGGUUAUAAACUCCUUUCGCUAGGGACGAAGCUUUUGUGACGGUACCUAGAUAAGAAGCACCGGCUAACUACGUG